rnacentral:rRNA from 1 species
UUUUCCCCGGGGUUUUACACUCAAUAAGCGGAGGAAGAGAAGCCAACAGGGAUUGCCUUAGUAACGGCGAGUGAAGCGGCAAUAGCUCAAAUUUGAAAUCUGGCGCUUGCGUCCGAGUUGUAAUUUGUAGAGGAUGCAUUUUGGUUAGGUGCCUUUCGAGUUCCUUGGAACAGGACGCCUUAGAGGGUGAGAGCCCCGUACGAUUGGAUGCCGAGCCUCUGUAAAUCUCCUUCGACGAGUCGAGUAGUUUGGGAAUGCUGCUCUAAAUGGGAGGUAAAUUUCUUCUAAAGCUAAAUACCGGCCAGAGACCGAUAGCGCACAAGUAGAGUGAUCGAAAGAUGAAAAGCACUUUGAAAAGAGGGUUAAAUAGCACGUGAAAUUGUUGAAAGGGAAGGAUUCAUGACCAGACUUUUUCUAGGAGAAUCAUCCGGUGUUCUCACCGGUGCACUUCUUUUAGCUUAGGCCAGCAUCGACUUUCGGCGGUGGAUAAAAGCUUUAGGAAUGUGGCUUCUCUCGGGAAGGAUUAUAGCCUAUUGUAUAAUACACUGCCUGGGAGUCGAGGUACGCGCUUCUGCAAGGAUGCAGGCGUAAGGGUUAUCAAUCACCCGUCUUGAAACACGGACCAAGGAGUCGAAUCAUUGUGCGAGUGUUUGGGUGUUAAACCCUCACGCGUAAUGAAAGUGAACGGAGUGUGAGAGCCCUUACGGGUGCAUCAUCGACCGAUCCUGAUGUUUUCGGAUGGAUUUGAGUAAGAGCAUAAAUGUUCGGACCCGAAAGAUGGUGAACUAUGCGUGUAUAGGGUGAAGCCAGAGGAAACUCUGGUGGAGGCUCGCAGCGGUUCUGACGUGCAAAUCGAUCGUCGAAAUCAUGCGCAUGGGGGACGAAGACUACUCGAACCAUCUAGUAUCUGGUUACGCGAACCUUUCCCCAAAAGGAAA